AGUGAACGCUGGCGGCAUGCCUAACACAUGCAAGUCGAGCGGAGCGGCGGGCGGGGGAGUGAUGCCUAGGAAUAUGCCUGGCUGUAGGGGAUAACGACCGGUAGCGGGCGCUAAUAAUACCUCCUAUCAGAUGAUCCUAGGUUGGAUUAGCUGGUUGGUGGGGUAAAGGCGUACCAAGGCGACGAUGCGUAGCUGGUCUGAGGGGAUGAUCAGUCACAGGGGAACUGAGACACGGACCAGACUCCUACGGGAGGCAGCAUUGGGGAAUCUUCGACAAUGGGCGAAAGCCUGAUCCAGCCAAGCGGCGUGUGUGAAGAAGGUCUUCGGAUUGUAAAGCACUUUAAGUUGGGAGGCGGUACCAACAGAAUAAGCACCGGCUAACUCCGUGCCAGCAGCCGCGGUAAUUC
rnacentral:rRNA from 1 species